UGCUUGCUGUGAAGAAAUCGCAAGGACGGUAUCUGAGAAAGGUGGCUCUUGAAAAAGUGCUCCUUCCUUGAUUAUAUUCCCAAAACUGAUCAAAUAUUCUGAGCAAGCA
rfam:Brachypodium distachyon strain Bd21 chromosome 3, whole genome shotgun sequence.